rnacentral:rRNA from 1 species
GUGAAAUUGUUGAAAGGGAAGCACUUGAAGUCAGCCAUGCUGCUUGAGACUCAGCCUGGCUUUUGCUUGGUGUAUUUCUCGGUAGCAAGCCAGCAUUGGUUUGUGUCGUCGGAGAAGCGUAUGGGGAAUGUGGCAUCCUCGGAUGUGUUAUAGCCCUGUGCAGGAUACGACGACGUAGACCAAGGAACGCAGUGUGCCCUCUGGGCGGGUCUUCGGACACCUUCACACUUAGGAUGCUGGCGUAAUGGCUUUAAGUGGCCCGUCUUGAAACACGGACCAAGGAGUCA